UGUAACGCUUCUGCCAACGGGGAGGACGUUCCAUCUGUCUGGUCAGAGAAAGGACUUGGGCAGAGAAGAGGGUCCCUCCACAGGCCAAUUCAGGUUGUCUGAUAAAUCUCCAGAGUCUGAUGGACCCAGGAAGUGAUCCUAAGAGGUUCAGGGCUGCACGACUGUCCUUCCCACCUCACAGAUGAGGAAACCGAGGCGCCGGAAGGUUAAUGACUUAUCCGAGGCCACUUGUCACAGCGCAAGUCCGUGGAGGAACUGGGGUGGAAGCCAGCAUGAUGUGUAGAGACCACAGUCAGACGCAACGCUGAGCCCAUUUCAAACGCCCUCUCAGAAACGUUGUCAGAGGGUGAUUCUCCCAGUAAAGCCAACAGGGAAGAAACGGGGACAGGGAAAAGCUCAAGGCACCUGAGUGCAAACCCCUGCUUCUCCUCAGACAAGCUGUGUGACUUCAGGCGAAUCAGCGGUGUUGGCGAGACCUCCGUUUCUUUCCCUCCAAAGCAGGAGGAAAGACUUCCCCAUAAGGCUGUAACAAGACAGUAGUGAGUGGCACUCUGAAGCGUCUCCCCACGUGCCUGAUGUGCUCACAGGAGCUUUUCAACAUGUCGAGCAGAGCCAGAGCCUUCCCAAGAUGGCAGCCCUCCCCAAGGAGGGCACAGAAAUCACAAUCACCAGUCGCUCAUGCAACACAGGUUGGUCGGGCACCUACUGGGCGCCAGGCAUGGGGUGGUACAGAGGACGUCAGACUGUAUUCUGUACCCCUCUGAAUUCUAUUGCGUAACAGCUGCUUCACCUUGUUGUUAGAGGAAUGCCUGGAAAUAGGAUUAGCGUUGUGUUUGUUAUCCUGGCCACAGCUUUUGCCUCGACAGGUCACCUGUGCAAGGGAUUCUGUCAUAUACCAUGCGUUCUACUCCCCCUACUGCAGUCAUUUGUCAACUAUCUUUAUGACUUUUGCCAUAAGUGUAUACCACCUGUGUUUUAUUGGCGUUAUAUAAGUUUUUUAAAUGAUUCACUUUCUUCACUUUCCAUUAAAAAAACCCUUAUAUUGCUAUAAUCCCUUGCCAGGAA